rnacentral:lncRNA from 10 species
AGAGAGCCACCGGGGCCCGCUCGCGCGCCUCUGAGAGGCUGUCCGCGCGCGCGCGUGUGUGCGUGAGUGUGGAUUUGCCGGGACUGGAGCUGGAAAGUUCAAACUAAACGUGUUGCUCUCGCCGAGUGCCGAGGCCGCGGCGGAGGCUGCCCAACUUCCCCGGGCCAAGUGAGUGGCGUUGCCCAGCGCCUUUGGCGAGGCGGCGGCCGCUCGGCCCUGCGCCCGGCCGCGGCGGCGGCGGCUCCGCUCGCCCCGGGAGGGAGCCCGCGGCCAGGGCUGGACUCUCGCCCCGCCACCUCCACCGACUCUCUCCUCAGCCUCCGCGCCUGGCACCGCAGCAAGACUUGAAUGAAGUGAUCAUGUAAACUAGAGAAAGGAGAUUAAAAAUAACCUCUGGAUAUUCCUCUCAUGUGAUCUUUAUUCUGGAUGAAGCAUUAGGACAGCUAAUAGCCGUGUGUCACUUAAAAAUCCAACUUGAGAACUGUCACCAAAGAUGUCUAGGAACUUUGAAGAAACAUGAAGAGAACCAACUUUGCACCCACAAGAGAGAAAAAGGCAAAUAAAUAAUAUUAUAUUUUGGAAGAGUCUUACAAAAUGAUUCAUAAUUAAUUUGCAGUAUACUAUUCUAAAAUUCUUUUGUAAGAGAUUAAAGAAAUAUGUACACAUUAGAAAACUAUAAUUAGUACUCCUAAUGGAAAUCAAUUUUCAUUUACAAAAUAGCUUUAAAAAUUUACAAAUACAAUGUUAAUUCACUCCUGCUUGCCCAACAAGGGGAGUUCUUGAUGGAGUGAAAAAGAGCCUAAAUCUUGAGCACUUACUGGGUACAGGGCACUGUCAUGUGUGUUUCACGUGUAUUGCCGAAUGUGAUACUUACAAAAACCAUAUCAGGUGGGUGUGGUAAUUAUCAUGAUGCCCAUUUUGCAAAUGAAGAAGCUGAGCCACUGAAAUGUUCAACAAAUGUGCCUCCAGGAUACACAGGUUGAUUUUCCGUUUCAGGAUUUGGACUCAUAUACUGGCCCCAAUGUCUGCUAUGUUCUCUUUUGGUAAACAUGCAGGAAAUGGAAUGAAAUAUGUUGUCUUUAGUAUAACAGAAUCUUUAAUUUGUAGCUCUAUUUGAACUUUCUUAGCUGAAGUGUCCUCAACAAAGUCAUAUAUGUAGUCACUAAUCACUAUGAAAAUGACAAUAUAAGAAGUAAAAUUAUAUGUAUACCAUUCAAAGAGAUCUGAAAAUUGAAUUAACUGAGCAUUUUUGUAGCAUGAAUCUUUGAUUAGAAAAUAUUGGAGCCCAUUUGCAACAUUUUAGGUUGCUACAUAUAAUGUUUUAUAUGAAAUAAUAUAAUCAACUUAUUUAUAGAAGUGUAGAUGAUUUUAGUUCUUUUCCUAUCAUUAUUCAGACAGAGUUUGAUAGCUUAGCAGACUCGUGUUGUAUGUGUAUAUGUUAGGGAGGACAGGUUUGCAAUUGAAGCUGAUUGUUUGCCCAAACACCAUCUGGCCUACCCAUUUAUAAUAUGUCAAAUGAGACUGCCCAAGGUAUGAGAAAAAUCUUAAUUUCACAUUUAUUCAGGUCAUAUUGGCCACAGCUCAAACUGCACUAUUAUAUUGUUUGCAUUUUCAUCACCACCCGGUUUUUUUUUUAAUUUUUUUCUGAAUUCUCUUGAAUGCUUUACUGAUUUUCACUACCUUCCUUUUAAUUAUUUCAGAAACCUACUAUUAAAGAUUUUCACUCACUGUUGAUCAUAACGUUAAUCAUCUUGUUACAAUAUAGACUAUUAUAAGCUUUAGUAAAAUAACUUAAAUAUUUUAAAACCCAAAUAUCUUUGGAUGGACUUUGUGUAUAUUAAAUUCUUGUCUAUUAUAGCAAAGUUUCAAUAUGCAUAAACAUAUACAUAUAAGUAAAUAUUUUAUAAUGUAUCACUGGCUCUUGUAAAGAUAGUUAUUCAUGCUCAAUAUCAACAUUUUGAAAAAUGUAGCUAUUAAUAAAUAUUUAUGCACAAACUUAGAUUUUUAACUGAAAGUUAAUGGCUAGGAUUUUUAAGUAACUGUCCAAAUAAUUAAAUAGAAGGAAUAAAAUAAACAUUUCACUUUGCAUUAGACACUUCUGCUAGAACAUGUUUUAUAAGAAUUAAAUGUUGAGGAAUUUUAAAAACUACAUUAGAUUUUAAAUCACCUUAAUAGUCCUACACUGAUUUCUACUGUUUUAGUUGGAAGAAUGAUCAGAAAUAGUAUCCAGGGGAAAUGUAUUUUGUAAAAAUACUGUAGUUUAAUAAUAUGAUAAGAAGGCAACUUCUGAGUAUAUCCUCUGAUUAAUUCAAUGCCAAAAUAUAUGGGGAAGAUAGUUUUCAAUGUAAAUACUGAUUCCUGUUUAGAAAAUAAAAACAGCAUAUUAUUAAUUUAGAUUAACAUAAUUAAUAUAACACUUAUUUCCCAAAAUGUUAUAUUUCUUUGGGUAGCCCCUUAAUUAUUAGUCAAACAAGAAACCUCCAACAGAAGUAUUUCAGAAAAUAUCAUGGCAUUUAAAAAUAUGAAUGUUCAUAAUUUCCUUAAUAGUUUACAUUUUUAACCCCUUUAAAAUGCUAAUUUCAUGAUCUUUAUUGCUGAUUUAUGAAAAUAUCACUAUUCAUUAGUAAAAUAUGUAUUUUUAAAUUAAAAUUUGAAUCUGAAAGAGCAAGGAAGACUUAAUUGGAAGAUGCAUAGAAUUUGUGAGGUCUUUUCAGAAUAUCUUACUGUAUGUAUGUUACAGAACAUAAGCACUGAGUCAAAGCUCAGCGGAGGAAGUUCACGUUAAUAGUGUGCUCUAGGCCGGGCGCAGUGGCUCACACCUGUAAUCCCAGCACUUUGGGAGGCUGAGGCAGGAGGACAACCUGAGGUGAAGAGUUCGAGACCAGGCUGGCCAACAUGGUGAAACCCUGUCUCUACUAAAAAUACAAAAAAAUUAGCCGGGCACGGUGGUGGGUGCCUGUAAUCCCAGCUGCUAGGGAGGCUGAGGCACGAGAAUUGCUUGAACCUGGGAGGCAGAGGUUGCAGUGAGCCGAGAUCACGCCAGUACACUCCAGCCUGGACAACAGAGUGAGACUGUGUCUCAAAAAAAAACAAAAACAAAAGCAAAACAAAAAACAACAACAGUGUGUUCUCCAGGCUGAGGGCCUUCAGUGCUGCAGCUUAUUACUUUAAUGGUGAGUAGAAAGUAAGGUAUGGGGUCAGGCACGGUGGCUUACUCCUGUAAUCCCAGAACUUUGGGAGGCUGAGGCGGGUGGAUCACCUGAGAUCAGGAGUUCGAGACCAGCCUGACCAACGUGGUGAAACCCUGUCUCUACUAAAAACACAAAACCAAACACCUCAUGUUCUCACUCAUAAGUGGGAGAUGAACAAUGACAACACAUGGACACAGGGAGGGGAACAUCACACACCAAGGCCUGUUGAGGGGUGGGAGGCUAGGGGAGGGAUAGCAUUAGGAGAAAUACCUAAUGUAGAUGAUGGGUUGAUGAGUGCAGCAAAUCACAAUGGCAAGUGUAUAUGUAUGUAACAAACCUGCACAUUCUGCACAUGUAUUCUGAAAC